rnacentral:misc_RNA from 1 species
AAAGAGCUGACAAUUUAAUCUCUUUCCCUAGGAGAAAAAAAUUAAGAAAUUGUAAGACCGUCCUAAUGACACCGAUAAUCAAGUUCCUUGAUAUACCUUCCCAAUCUCCUCCCUUUCUUAGGAACAAGUAUUUCUUUUUUUAGAAAAAGAUCGACACUAAAUUGAGACCAUCAAUACAGCACAAAGAUGAAUACUUUCACAAACCACAUUCAGCCAUCCAUUGAAUGUGCCCAUAAACAAGGUUGAUCAAGAAAAGCCAUAAAAAUCCCCCUUUUGAACUGGUUAAUAGAAAAAGAUGACAUAUCUUUGCUCAAUGAGAUAAUUGGCAGAAGUGAUGCUACCAACUAUAGUGACCUUCACCUCCAAAAUUACGUAGUGCUCUUUUUGUGCCCUACAACAACUGCUAAACCAUAGAUAGAGUAGACAGCAAACUAGAAAAGCUUAUUAUCAGUAUUCAAACACCAAAAAUUUUGCCCAAAUCCUGCCUAGUAUGAUACUUUAUAUGGAUUAAGAACAAAUGGGUACCCUCUAAGACCAAAUUGUGCAUCCCUACCAGGAAUCAGCUGACAUCCAUGAACCAAAAUCAGUGUAUCAAAAUAAAAACAGAUAACAACCCUCUAACCAAAAACAAGGAACAAAUACUGACAUCUUUUUUAUGUUUUGAUCAGUAUAAUUUAUUGUAAAACCAAUGCUCCACAAGAAGCUAAGAUACAUCUUUGUUAUUAGAUCAGGGACUAUCACAGAUUGGCUAUGAGGUUCAUAAAAUGUCAUAGAAAACUAAAACCAUAACAUCAGUUGUUGCUAAAUGUCAUUGUUAUUAGUCUCAUUGUUAUUAAAAACAAGGUGUAACUGUGUCCUGUAUCACACCACAUAUAUAACAAAAGAUGAACCCAGUAAUAAGCUUCUAGCUAGUAGCAACCUAUGAAUCAUAAUACAUUUACAUUACAAUAACGAAUAUAAAGGUGGUUAGGGGAGUGGGUUUGUCUAUUUAGGAGUCUGAAAAACUAUAUUGUCUUGUUAUCUUGUAUACAAAAUUCAUGAACAACAAGAAACAUUAAUUUACUUGAAACUGAAAAAAAGUGUGCAUGGCAUUUGACAAAAAAA